GAUGAACGCUGGCGGCGUGCUUAAUACAUGCAAGUCGAGCGAACGGACGAGAAGCUUGCUUCUCUGAUGUUAGCGGCGGACGGGAGAGUAACACGUGGAUAACCUACCUAUAUGACUGGGAUAAUUUCGGGACACCGUAGCUAAUACCGGAUAAUAUUUUGAACCGUAUGGUUCAAAAGUGAAAGACGGUCUUGCUGUCACUUAUCGCUGGUUCCCGGCUGCAUUAGGUAGUUGGUAGGGUAACGGGUUAUCACGGCAACGAUGCAUAGCCGACCUGAGAGAGUGAUCGGCCACACGGGAGCGGGGACACGGUCCAGACGCCUACGGGAGGCAGCAGUAGGGAAUCUGCCGCAGUGGUCGAGAGCCUGACGGAACAGCGCCGCGUGAGUGAUAAAGGUCUUCGGAGCGUAAAACUCUGUUAUUAGGGAAGAACAGAUGUGUAAGUAACUGAGCACAGCGUGACGGUACCUGAUCAGAAAGCCACGGCUAACUACGUG
rnacentral:rRNA from 1 species